CGCCUUCUUAAAAAAGUCGGACAUCAAGUUAACCAUCUGCCCAUGGUUUUAUCGUGCUUCUUUUGGCGUUUAUGCAUUUUCGUAUUUGCCUUGAUCGAGGUUUCUCCAUCGUUACGAUAGCUUGACAUGUACUCAGAUGCGUCAUCGUUGAUAGUUAUGUUAGUUGGAACAUAAUCCGCUCCGGCGGACAAGUCACUUUGACGGUUGGUCUUGAAGCACCAAGUCAUUGACUGCAUCAACAAACGAUUCGGCAUUUUCACCGGUUGCUCGAUCUUUACCAAAGAUUACAAGUCAAUCCUUGUAUAGAGGCUAUUUUUUGUAGCGCAUAGUGCAAGCAUUCGGAUCCGACUAAGGC
rnacentral:lncRNA from 1 species